rnacentral:tRNA from 1 species
UUUGGUGUGGAUCAGUGGUAGAACAAUUGCCUGGCAUGUAUAGAACCCUGGGUUUCAUCCCCAGCACCACAA